CUUUACUGUAGCUUUGCAUUGGACUUUGAACCGGUUUGUGUAGGAUAGGUGGGAGGCUGUGAAACCGGGACGCCAGUUUCGGUGGAGCCAACCUUGAAAUACCACCCUGAUUUGUUUGAGGUUCUAACCUUGACCAGUGAAUCCUGGUCGGGGACCGUGCAUGGUAGGCAGUUUGACUGGGGCGGUCUCCUCCCAAAAGGUAACGGAGGAGUACGAAGGUACGCUUAGGGCGGUCGGACAUCGCCCAUAAAGUGCAAUGGCAAAAGCGUGCUUGACUGCGAGACCCACAAGUCGAGCAGGUGCGAAAGCAGGUCAUAGUGAUCCGGUGGUUCUGUAUGGAAGGGCCAUCGCUCAACGGAUAAAAGGUA
rnacentral:rRNA from 1 species